ensembl:lncRNA
AUGGCUGGGGCAUCAUCCACUGCUGGGACUUCGUCCACGGCUGGGGCAUCAUCCACUGCUGGGACUUUGUUUAUGGCUUGGGCAUCGUCCACUGCUGGGACUUCAUCCAUGGCUGGGGGCAUCAUCCACUGUGGGGGCAUCAUUGACUACUGGACUUCAUCCACGGCUGGGGCAUCCACUGCCGGGGCAUCAUCCACUACUGGACUUCAUCCAUGGCUGGGGCAUCCACUGCCAGGGCAUCAUCCACUACUGGACUUCGUCCACGGCUGGGGCAUCCACUGCCGGGGCAUCAUCCACUGCUGGACUUCGUCCAUGGCUGGGGCAUCAUCCACUGCUGGGACUUCGUCCAUGGCUGAGGCAUCAUCCACUGCUGCGACUUUGUCCAUGGCUGGGGCGUCGUCCACUGCUGCGACUUUGUCCGUGGCUGGGGCAUCGUCCACUGCUGGGACUUCAUCCGUGGCUGGGGCAUCAUCCACUGCUGGGACUUCGUCCAUGGCUGGGGCAUCAUCCACUGCCGGGACAUCAUCCACUACUGGACUUCGUCCACGGCUGGGGCAUCCACUGCCAGGGCAUCAUCCACUACUGGACUUCGUCCACGGCUGGGGCAUCCACUGCCGGGGCAUCAUCCACUACUGGACUUCAUCCACGGCUGGGGCAUCCACUGCCGGGGCAUCAUCCACUGCUGGACUUCGUCCAUGGCUGGGGCAUCAUCCACUGCUGGGACUUUGUCCAUGGCUGGGGCAUCAUCCACUGCUGCGACUUCGUCCAUGGCUGGGGCAUCGUCCACUGCUGCAACUUCGUCCAUGGCUGGGGCGUCGUCCACUGCUGGGACUUCGUCCAUGGCUGGGGUGUCGUCCACUGCUGGGACUUCGUCUACAGCUGGGGCAUCAUUCACUGCUGGGACUUCGUCCAUGGCUGGGGCAUCAUCCACUGCUGGGACUUCGUCCAUGGCUGGGGCGUCAUCCACUGUGGGGGGCAUCAUCCACUGCUGGGACUUUGUUUAUGGCUUGGGCAUCGUCCACUGCUGGGACUUCAUCCAUGGCUGGGGCAUCAUCCACUGCUGGGGGCAUCAUCCACUGUGGGGGCAUCAUUCACUACUGGACUUCAUCCACGGCUGGGGCAUCCACUGCCAGGGCAUCAUCCACUACUGGACUUCAUCCACGGCUGGGGCAUCCACUGCCAGGGCAUCAUCCACUACUGGACUUCAUCCACGGCUGGGGCAUCCACUGCCAGGGCAUCAUCCACUACUGGACUUCAUCCACGGCUGGGGCAUCCACUGCCAGGGCAUCAUCCACUACUGGACUUCGUCCACGGCUGGGGCAUCCACUGCCGGGGCAUCAUCUACUGCUGGGACUUCGUCCAUGGCUGAGGCAUCAUCCACUGCUGCGACUUUGUCCAUGGCUGGGGCGUCGUCCACUGCUGCGACUUUGUCCGUGGCUGGGGCAUCGUCCACUGCUGGGACUUCAUCCGUGGCUGGGGCAUCAUCCACUGCUGGGACUUCGUCCAUGGCUGGGGCAUCAUCCACUGCUGGGGGCAUCAUCCACUGUGGGGGCAUCAUUCACUACUGGACUUCAUCCACUGCUGGGGCAUCAUCCACUGCUGGGGCAUCAUCCACUACUGGACUUCAUCCACGGCUGGGGCAUCCACUGCCGGGGCAUCAUCCACUACUGGACUUCAUCCACGGCUGGGGCAUCCACUGCCGGGACAUCAUCCACUACUGGACUUCGUCCACGGCUGGGGCAUCCACUGCCAGGGCAUCAUCCACUACUGGACUUCGUCCACGGCUGGGGCAUCCACUGCCGGGGCAUCAUCCACUACUGGACUUCAUCCACGGCUGGGGCAUCCACUGCCGGGGCAUCAUCCACUGCUGGACUUCGUCCAUGGCUGGGGCAUCAUCCACUGCUGGGACUUUGUCCAUGGCUGGGGCAUCAUCCACUGCUGCGACUUCGUCCAUGGCUGGGGCAUCGUCCACUGCUGCAACUUCGUCCAUGGCUGGGGCGUCGUCCACUGCUGGGACUUCGUCCAUGGCUGGGGUGUCGUCCACUGCUGGGACUUCGUCUACAGCUGGGGCAUCAUUCACUGCUGGGACUUCGUCCAUGGCUGGGGCGUCGUCCACUGCUGGGACUUCGUCCGUGGCUGGGGCAUCAUCCACUGUGGGGGGCAUCAUCCACUGCUGGGGCUUCAUCCAUGGCUGGGACAUCAUUCACUGCUGGGGCUUCAUUCAUGGCUGGGGCAUCAUCCGUGGUUGUUUUGCUCAAUCUAUCUGAGCCACAGAUCCAGAUUAUUAAACAAUAA